AGCAGCAAAAUAUCUACUGGACUAAUUAAAUAUGAUUGGUAAAUAAACUAAAGAGACUAAAAAGGACAAGUUCAAUGCUAAACCAGAAGGCUAACAAAGACAUUGAAAGAGAUAUUGGAUUGAGAGAGAGAAAAGGGGGAAAUAGCAGUUUUAAAAUUUACACAUCCAAAAAUUCAAAACUUGAUACCUGUACUUUCUGUUCUAGGCACGCUGGCCAACACUAGGCAUGUUGUUUAAAGAGGGCUUAUGCUCGAAAUGACUAAAUGAGAUGUUAUAGUGAGCUUGAUGUGUAAUUAAUGAGGAAGUGAGCCAUUCCUAAGGAAAACAGAGGGACUACAGCCAAGGCGCAGUCAUUAUGAAGCAAAAAAAAAGGGUGCAACAGAAAUCAAGACAGCAACUUCUGUAUAUUCAGACUUAAUAAGGCAUCCAAUGCUCUUCUACAGAUGGACCAUUUAUGUACACAUCAGGCACCAUUACCCUGGCUGUUAUUUUAACAAUAAACUUUGUUAAUGGCAGCUUUUCAGCAAGAUCAUUUUCUGCAUCUAAUGCUCAAUCAAUGUAGUCAAAUAGAUCCUGAAUUUGGCUAAUAUUCAAAUUAGUCAUUUAUUGUGUGCUUCAACUGUUUAAAAAAAAUUGCUGAUGCAUCAGAUUUGACUAUAUUCUCCACUUUGCAGGCAGCUGAUUUUAUAAGUUUGCUUUUUUUAAAAUCCAUCAAUUGCCUAAUGCAAUUAAGUCUAAAUCAUUUUAAAGCAAUUUGCCCAUUAGCUAAAUUUUGCUCACAUUAGUUACUGCAGAGUCGAAAUAUUAUGUCCAGGAUUUUCACUUAGUACUAUUAUACCUGGUCAUGUGUCAAAUUAUAGAUGUUUAAAAAUGCAAUAAAAUUUCUUCUGUAAAUAGUGGCAUCUACUCAUACAUCAGAAAAGUGACAUCUUAAACAUUAUACACCCAUGACAAGAAUAUGACUUGAUUGCUGCCAGCUAAGCGGCUGACACAUAAAAAUUCAUCACCAUGCUUAGGAACCUGCAAGGGAAAUUAUUGUUGAGUUCAUAUAACUGAAGGUACAUACACAAACAACAGGAAUUCUGCAGAUGCUGGAAAUUCAAGCAACACACAUCAAAGUUGCUGGUGAACGCAGCAGGCCAAGCAGCAUCUAUAGGAAGAGGCGCAGUCGACGUUUCAGGCCGAGAAUCUUCUUGGAAAGAAAAUAUAGUAUAUCCAGGUUCAAGGCAUUUCAAAGCUCAAGACUUCAUGUGCACAGAACUUGAACUGAAUGAAGGCACACAGUUGAGUAGGAGUGGAAAACAUUGUGUUCCUUAUUUACAACAACCCUGUCAAAUUAGAUACCACACUGCAGGAUGCCAAAGACAGAAAACACACUUGCUACUUCCAGUAACACUUCUAUCCCUCCAGGCAGAUCAAUGAGUCUGAUUGACAGGUUAAUUACAAACUAUACCUUGGAGUACUGAAAUGUGGUUAACUCACCUACUAGAUUUGAGUUUGCCAGAGGUAACAGACUCAAUACCAAUCUUCUAACAAUAACUUACAUUUAUAUGGAAAUGUUAACAGAGGGAAAAUAUCCACAGCCUUUUACAGAGGUUAUUAGCACAAACUGGUUUUCAUGAAUUUGACAAGUUUACUCCAAAAUAACAUUACUAUGCAUAACAAGUAUUGGUAACUUGAGGCUCUAGCAGCAUUAUUAAACAAAAUAUUAAAAUGGAUCUAAUCUUUUGAAUGUCUUUCCACUGCCUGAGAGAACUUACAUUAUGGAUUUAUUUCUUAAACUUCCUUUAAUUUCCAAAAUACAUUGAAUCACUUUUAAAACUAUUUUAAAUAAUAAAACUAUCAAGAUAGCUGAAGGGAAAAUUAGUUGAGGCACACAAAAUUAUGAGAGACGUAUUUCAACAGAUCAAUAAUUAUGAGAAGUAGAUUUAGGAUAAUUGGUAGAAGGGAUAAUGAGAAGUUGUUGAAUUUGUUUUUCUUUAACAAAUGGUGGGGUUUGAAUACUAACUGGCUGAAAGUGUAGUGAAGCACAAAGAUAAUUUUUUUAAAUAUAAAGAACCUAGAUGAACACUGAAUAUGCCAUUACGUACAAUGCUACAUUCCAUAAACAGGGAAGUCAGAUUUGUCUCAAGAACAUUAUUUUCUUAGUCACACCACGCACGAUGGACCUAGUGGCCUCCUUUACAAAAUCAUGAAUAUUAACAGCACCAAUAUAGCAAUCAGUACAUAUGUUACUGUUAUCUGUUGUUCUACACAUCUUCAUUUCAUUAAAACAUAGUACAGUACAGGAAUAGGCUCUUCAGGCCAAGUCUGUACCUACUAAAUGCCGCUUAAGUGUUACUUCUACAUCUGCCUCUACCACCUUCCUACCAGCAUGUUCCAGGCUUCCAGCACAAUGACAUUGGCCUUGCAAAAUUGCUUUAAAACUCUCCCCCUUCCCACAUUUGACCUAUUCCCUCUAAUAGAUGAUCCUGGGUCAGUCAGUCAAUGGGUACCGUCCUGAAUCCGGGGUUGGUUACUAUGCACCUCCAUCUUCUUCGACCUUGCACUCUUUUUCUGGCCUCAGCAUAACUCAACCCAGUCCAUUGCCUCACAUUAUUGUACCAAGUGGUUCGCUGCCUUUCUCUUUCCCUCUUUCCUUCUAUCAUCCCUUCCAAUAACAAUUUCUGCAGUCCACCACCUCUUAACAAGUGCCCGGCAUAUUCCAGCUUCCUUUUCUGCACAUUCUUCAGCAACUCCUUUUCUCUCCUCGCUCUCUUCAACACUUCCAUAUUACUGACCUUCAUCACCCAUCUAACUUUCUGCAGUCUCUUUAAACACCACAUUUCAAUGCCUCCAGUCAUCGUUGCGCUUCCUUGCAUAAGGUCCACAAUUCGACUCCAUACAACAGACUGCUCCAGACGUAGCAUUUCCAAGUUCUACAACGCAGCCCAAAGUCUAACCUCUUGCCACACAGCAUGUCACUCAGGCUCCAGAACGUUGAUCUUGCAAUCUCAAUUCUUCGUCUAAUUCCUGUAUCACAUUUCCCAUCCUCUGUGACCAUCUGUCCCCAAGUACACAAACUUCUUGACUUGCUCUAUGCCUAUGCCAUUAAUUUUGAUACUGAUUUUGGAGACUUCUUUCUUCCAUGAUACUACCAUCAUCUUCGUCUUUGCAGCAUUUAUUUUCAUUCCAAAUCGUUCUCCUUCAGCAUUUAUCUCAUCUACUAUUGAGUAACUCAUCCUCCGUCUCGGCUAACAACUCUGAAUCAUCUACAUACCUCAAGUUGUUCACUGUCACUCCACCAAUAUGGACACCAGCUUCAUCGUUCAACACCCUGAAGAUUACCUCUGAGUAAAUGUUAAAUAAUAAAGGGGAGAUAAUGCAGCCCUUGUGAACCCCUUUUUGGAUCUCAACUUCAUGUGAAUUCCCACCACUAGUUCUUAUUACUGUCUUCUGAUGCCAGUACAGACUCGCAAUCAGUCAAACAUCUUUCCCAUCCAGCCCCAGUGAGUUCAGGCAAUUGACCAGCUGUUCAUGAUUGACUCAGUCAAAAGCUUUCUCAUAAUCCAGGAAGUACAUGUAAAUGUCUUUUUUUUUUCUAGACCUCGUUCCACAAUCAUUCAUAAAUUAAAAAUCCCUUCAUGGGUACCCUUACCCGGUAUAAAUCCGCUCUGGCACUCAAUUUCAUUAAGAACUGUCCUUUUUAUUCUGCUUAGAAGUAUUAAUAACAAGUUCUUGGAGGCCUCCAAGAUCCUUGGUAAAAGACUAUUUACCCUCUUUAUGCUUCAUAAUUUUAUGAGCUUCAUCAGAAUGCCUCCCCAGCCUCGAAUGCCCCCGACAAAACAAUCCAAGUUUGUCCAGUCUUUUCAUGUAACUAAUACUCUUCAAUCCAAGCAGCAUCCCAGUGAAUUUCUUCUGUAUCCUCUCCAAAAAUUCUGCAUCUUUCCUAGGAUACGGCAACCUGAUUACUCCAAAUGUGGUCUAACCAAAGUUUUAAAGGUUUUUAAGUUUUAUCUUCCAAUAGUUCAUGUUUUCACCCUUCAACUAUUUUGUUAACAGCAAUCUACUGUGAUAUUCCACUGAUCGAAAUAUUAAGAGAGACUGCAAUAGAGUCCAAACAAAUCCACCAAUGUCAACACAAAGCAAACAGCUAGGUCAUUAUUGGUGCAAAUUUUAGUAUCAUCAUUUGCAACACUGCACAAUUUACUGAGAAAAUAUGACUAGUGACAUAUUUAUAUUAAUCUUUCAGUUUGCUUUUAUUAAUAUUGGGAUCUGAGGAAAAGCCAAGAUUUAGACAUGUUUAUCUUAUGGCUUAUGCUUUUUUUUCCCAUUCAGGGAAAUAAGGCACCGUUUUCAAAUUGAGGUAAAUGUUGUGUUGUCCAGCACUACAAUCAUACUAAAUAGGAGACCCUCAGAACUAGUCUGGAAUCUCUGGAGACUAAUAAAGUAUUUUUGAUCAUUAAAGUCUGAAAAACACCAUCUCAAUCAACAACCACAUUGCCUGAUCAUCAGACACAAGUAGCAGAAUUAGGCCAUUUGGUUCACAGAGCCUGCUCUGCCAUUUCAUCAUAGCUGAUUCAUUAUCCCUCUCAACCCCAUUCUCCUGGCUCUUUCCUAUAACCUUUGACACCUUUACUAAUCAAUCCCAUCAUCUAUUAUUUUAACCUAAUUAAGGGAUCAGUCCUGAUUUAAUGAAGAAUGCAGAAGGGCAUGCCAGGAGUGACAGUAGACAUACCUAAAAAUAAGAUUCCUUAGUGUAAGUGCAAAGGACACCUGUAUAUUAAUAGGUUUGCAACAGAGUUAAGCAUACAGCCAUUGGAACUAGAGCUGCCACAUCUAGUAGUGAAUGAUGUGGCACCUGCAAAACUUUACACUGUCCACAGUGCACAAAUUAGCAGCAUUGUAGAACAGUCUUCAUUUUACAAAUGUGCAGCUUCCACUAACUCUCAAAAAGCUUGAAAUUAUAUUGGGCAAAGUGCAUUGUUUGUUCAUGCAUCACUAACAUAUCCAUUCCCUUCACUACCUUUACAUUAUGGCUCUAGUAUAUAGCUGUAUGCAAAAAAAAAUACACUACUUGUCUAGAUUGUAGCUCAGUUUCAUGUGCCAUUAAGAGCAAAUGAUUUCCACAGUUGGAUUCUUCACUUUCGGCUAUUAAGCAGGGUUAAGAAACACUUGUUUCCACUCUAGGUCAAAGAUAUAGGAAAUGUGGUCAACAAAGUUGUUUUAAAAGGAACAUCUUAAAAGGAAUGGUGUAAUGCCAGGCUGGAGAAAAAUGCAGAAAUAGGAUGUCCUUGAGAAAAUGUUCGAUUUGAGGUGUUGCUUAACCUUAUACUUAAAGUAGGUAGUGAACAUAGUGGUGAGGGGUGAAUAAAAUACAGGUUUCCUGCAGAAGAGUCUCAGCCUGGAACGUCUACUGUAGUCUUUUCCAUAGAGGCUGCCUGUCCUGCUGAGUUCCUCCAGCAUUUUGUGUGUGUUGCUUGGAUUUCCAGUAUCUGCAUAUUUUCUCGUUUUUUUUUCAAAUGUUGAUUCUCGAAUUUAGAGCGUGGCAGCGGGCAAGAGAUAAUAGUACUGGUCUAUUAAGUGAUUAUUCACUGAACCGUUGACGGUGCAUCCCACAUAAAAUACCAGAUACACAGGUUCUCUCCACUCAGUGAAGAGCAGACGUUGACUUUAAUACCGGUGCUAAACUGUUGCACCCUACGGUCAGGGAAAACCAGCCGGAUGCCAAAAGUUUUGUAGCCCCGCGCGAAGUUAAAACGGUGGAGCAUUCACCGCGUUCGUGAACCCUCGUACUCUGAUGAAAGGUCACAACUCCAAGCCCUGGUGCAAAAUCUAUGAACAUUUCUUCAUAUUAACGAUUAAAACACUUUGCAACACCUUUUACUGCAAACCGAUCUCUUUAAAAGUACAAGGUGUCUCGUCAGCGAUGAGCUCGCAGUGUGCAAGGAGCGGCAGGUCGGCCCAUAUAGCCUGCUGAGGAUUUAACAAGGAUUAUUUGGUUCACCCAAUGUGCCUCGUCAAGGAACACUACUGCCAAAAUGCCUUUUUGCCAUCAUACCCUUCACCCAAUGAUAUGAUACAGGAAUCAGAAUCAGGUUUAACAUCACCGGCAUAUAUUGUGAAAUUUGUUGUCCUUAUGGCAGCAGUUCUAUACAACACAUAAUAAUUGGGAGAAGAAAUGUGAAUUACAGAAAGGAAGAUGUGUUAUCACAUGUGACAUAUAAGAACAUGAUUGGACAGAGUCGGGAGUGUGCGCAGAAUUGUCAGAAUGAUCGAGAAGCUUGUAUGUUAGAUGUGGUUGCUGUUUGCUGUUAAGUAAAAGUUCUAGUUAUGUUCUUCCAGAAUAUGGUCUUUAAGAGUAAUCCACGGUAUGUAUAAAGAACACAACAGUAACCACUAUUUGAGUGGUGGUCCCCCCUCCCUCCCAGGAAGGAGAUACUUCCAGCUAGCGAAGUAGUAUAAGCACAGUUAAUUUAUCUUUUUUGAUGUAUGUUUAAACGUAGGUAACAUUCUUAAAACACAUUUAAAACUCUCGGAGGAUUUCUAUCUUAAAAGAUUUCCAAAUUACGAAUGAUUUCCAAAACACAAUUACAAUUCCUAUAAGCUAAAAAGACAUACCCACAUUCAUUCAUGAAGUUAUUGAAGAUAAUUGGGCCUAGAACAUUUUGUCUGAAGGGAUAAGACAAAUAUCUGUAGCCAUUGGAUUGUUUUGAUCCUUGAUGCCAAUUACAUUCACUUUAACCAGGGCAUCUUGAUACAAGCCCUAGUCAAAUGUGGCUUGAUAGUAGGAGCAUUCGCUCUCAUCCUACCUCUGGUUACAGCUCAGUGACCCAUUUCUGAACAAAGUCUGUGAAAAAGUCUAGAACUUGACCUAAGUGAAACACAAGUUGCAUUUUGAUGAGCAGGUUAUUGGUGAAUAGUGUUCUUGAUUACAACGUUUCUCCAGCAAUAAUCCGAGCUUUGACAUUUGCAAAGACUUUAGAGGAUACAUCUAAAUUUAGUGGAGCUAAAGAUGCUGUAUUUUUGUGGAUUUAUAAGUCUUGUAGAUGGUGAAAUCACAGGAGUUCAGAAAAAAGAAAAUAUAGAUGAACUGAUGUCUCCUUCAGCAUUGCUCCUUGCUGAAAUUAAAAGCACCUUCCUUUUCUCCUCCUUUUUAUUUUCUUUCUAUAUCAAGUUUGACAUUGAUUUAAUAUUUAAAUUUCUCAAUCAUGUUCAAGAUUGAAAAAGGAACCUAAUAUUUCUUCAUCUGAGUACAACAGAACUUGGCUUAAGUUUAGAAUACAAAAUAUAAUCGAACAUGUGCCACCCACAGUCUGUAGGUUUGAAGUUAUUAUGAGUAAUGCAAAAACCAUACCAUAUUUCUCCUCAACUAACGUUCUUACAAAUUAACUGCAAACAAACAAUCAAAUAAUUGAUGAUCCCUUUAAAAGGCACAGCUGUAGGAACUUCUGAGCUGCUAAAUAUUGGCAUCGCUGUAGGAACUGAGGCCCAAUUCGGAAUUUUGCUUGUGUCAAAUUAGCAUGAUUGCAUGAUGCCAUUACUAAUCUACAUGUUUCCAGUGUGCAAGAGUGUUGUAUCUAUUAUGAGCCUUUAUCAAUACUACAGUUGACAAGAUACAGAUUAGAUAUCUACAAAGUAAAUUGUGCAUAAAAUUUAAAUAAAGUCUGCACCUGUAUUGCUCGAACAACAGACAUUAAGGAGCUCAACUGUAUAACCACUGUAUUGUUUCUAGUGAAAAAUGCCCAAAUAUAUUUAAAAUGUCUGCAAUUAUUAUUGAGGAUCAGAAAUUUUAAGUUGACAUUGUGUGAAAUUCAAUGGGCAUUAUAUUAAAAAUGUGAGUUUAUGUUUAUGAUGGAUAAAGUUUGCAUUCUACAGAACAAGAGAAUGAUGGAGUGAAAUAUUUUUAAUUCCUUUAAAUCAAAACCUUAUUUUUAUUGUUGAGCAAAAGACUACUGAGGGAAAUACUUUUUGCACAUUAUUAAGGUGAUUCCAAAAGUCUGUUGCCAAGGCAUUUGAAAGGUACUUGAUCAGCAGGAAAAAAAUAUUCAUCUCAAGAUUACAUUUAAUAAUGCAUGCUUUGGAGAGAAGGCAAAAUCCCAAUAAAUGCAACUGUCAGUACACUAGAGGACUAUACCAGUGACAAAUAAUGACUUUCCUGCAGGAAGCAGCUGAUGAGCACUUACUGUGAAUAUGAUUAAUGUUAUCUUUAUUGGCCUAAAUUUAAUUUGCCCUAGAUACUUCUUUAGUUGCUCUUCACUUUCUGUAGUCUGGAAUAUCAACUGACACAUCCCUGUACACAAUGCCUGUUUUUCACAAAAGCAGUGUACUUCGAAAGAUAUUUUAAUCAUUUGUUUCUGGUUUGUUUUGUUCUGUCCUCUUGCAAUCACUCAUGUGCAUGUGUGCUAUUUAUCAUAUCUGGUGCAAUGCCCUGGUGGGCGUAACAUUAUCCCCAAGAGUGUUUCUCUCGCUCUCAAAAAGUAGAUUAUAAUAACUGUUGCAUUUAGUCAAUCAGGGAGCAAAAGCAAAUACUUUUGAAAUUGUCAGAGCCGCAUAUUUCUGAGUGAAAUGUAUGUGUUCCAUCUUUAACAGACUCACUUGUUUAGGACUGGAGGAAUCUGACUGUGGUGACUAAUAGCAAACUCAAUGUAGAUAAGGUGUUAAAUUUGGCAGUACAAGAGCUCACCUUAAUUUCAAUACACAUCCUACUGAUUUAAUAGAUUGCUUCUUGUUCAGUGAAUAUAUCUGCAGAAUGCAGCUGUUAUUAUGGGAAGUCAUAGGGAUGGUCUAGCUUAGAAAGAUAUACAACAAAGGCAAUACAAAAAGCCUUAUUUUCAGGUUAAUUCAGUUUGAUGUCAAAACAAACAUGGAAGAAAUUCAAUUGCAUCAGAAGUAGUAAGCUCAUUUAGAAAAUGUUGUAAUUAACAGCAAAACAAAUAUAAAUAUUGAGCUUCUGCGUACUUGUGAGACAGAUUUCAAAGACCAGCCUAACCUUUGUCACCUUUGCCAUAUGCUUUCAUUGCACAAGAGCUCCAAGGCACAGUUACUGUGGGGGACGCACAUAUUUUAUACAUGAUUGUUUAAAGUUCAGCUCAGUGGGCACUGUCACCUCAAAUAGGCCUGUUACUUUGAAAUGCUUUCACACAAAGAAGGAGGUGAACGGCUACAAGAUAAUGUUCAGCCUUCUCGAGAAAUAUCUGCCAUUGUCUUAAAUGUUGGAUGCUUCCACUUGCUUAGAUUUUUUAAAGUGCUCAUUUCAUUUCCUAUAAACCAGUUGUCCGGACUUUAUUGUUGUAUUUUAUAAUGCCUGAGAACAGCAUGCACAAUUUAAAAUUUUGUAGAGAUGGGAGACACUAAUAAUUACCAUCAGUGUUUGUUCCGAAUUAGGGUUAAUAUCACCAACAUAUGUUGUGAAAUCUGUUAACGUUGUGAC